rnacentral:lncRNA from 1 species
AAAUAAAUUAGUAGAUAACAAGAUGAAAUAAAUUUAACAUGUUUGAGACCAUAUAAUGCCUUUGUUAGUUUAAUAACAUGAUUAGGUUUUUUUGUGUUUUCAAAACCAGGAGGUUGAUGAACAUAAAUUUCCUCAUUUAAGAAUCCAUUUAUAAAAGCAUUUUUGACAUCCAUUUAAAAUAAUUUAGUAUUUUUAUGAGAUGCAUAUGCAAGAAGAAUUCAAAUUACAUCUAACCUUGCUACCGGGGAACAGUUCCAUCGUAAUCAAUACCUUCUUGUUAAUUAUAUCCUUGUGCUACGAGUCUAGCUUUAUUUCUGAUGACUUUUCCUUCUUUGUCUAAUUUAUUUCUAAAAACCCAUCUUGUUCCAAUGAUUGAUUGAUUUUGAGGUUUAGGAACAAGAUUUCAUACUUCAUUCUUUUCAAAUUGAGAUAGUUCUUCUUUCAUGGCUAUUACCCAUGAUUCUUCACAUAUUGCCCCUUGUAUCUUUUUUGGUUCGAUGUGUGAGAUCAUUGCCAUGUUGCCAUCAAUAUUUAUAAAUGAUUGUAUUGUUCUUAGCUCAUCAGAUGUAUAUCCAAUGAUUUGCUCAGGAGGAUGAUCACCAAUAGUUUCCAGCUCUUUGGAGGUAUUUGUGAGGAAAGCUCUUGAUCAUUGUUCAUGUCUUUUUGAGAUAUUUCUUCUACAUCCUUUGUUAAUUACCAGAUCAUCGAACUCAUUAAAGACAACAUGCAUACUUAUUUUCAUUGUUUGAUUUUUUAGAUUGAAAAUUUUAUAACCUUUAGAAUUAGUUGCAUAUCCUAUAAAUAUUCCUUUGUCUGAUUUUGAACAAAACUUUCCUAGAUUUUCUUUGUCAUUUAAAAUAUAACAAUAACAACCAAAAAUGUGAAAAUAUGAAAUGUUAGGUUUUCUAUUUUUCCAGAGUUCAUAUGAGGUUUUGUUCAAUUUUUUUUAAUUGAAUCACGAUUUAUGAUAUAGCAAGAAGUAUUUAUGACUUCUACCUAAAAAUAUUUUUCUACAUUUGAUUCAUUUAUCAUUGUUCUUGCCAUUUCCUCUAGUGUUCUAUUUUUUAUUUUAACGACACAUUUUGAUGUGGGGUUCUUGCACAUCAGAAAUUGUGUGAUGUUCCUUUUUAUAUCAAAGUAUUUGAAAAAUGCAUUUUGGAAAUCUCCUCCAUGAUCACUUCUUAUUGAGAUGAUUUUUGAUUCUUUUUCAUUUUGAACUAGUAUGCAAAAAGUUUUCAAUGCUUCAAAUGCUUCAUCAUUAUGUUUUUAAAAUAGUACCCACAUAUAUCUGGAAAAAAUCAUUAACUAUAACAAAACCAUAUUGUUUUCCACUUAAAUUGGCGGUUCUAACAGGACCAAAUAGGUCUACGUGAAGAAGCUCGAAAGGUCUCUGAGUUGAAACUAAAUCUUUUAUUUUGAAACAACUUUUGACUUGUUUAUCUAUUGUACAUGCUUCACAUAUUCUAUCUUUUUCAAAAUUAAUUAUUGGAAGUCCUCUUACUAGAUCUAGUUUGGAAAUUUUUUAAAUAGUUUUCGUACUUACAUGUUCAGCUCUUUUGUGCUAAAUCGAUUUGUCUUUUUCAAUAGUCAUAAAACAUGAUUCACCUGGAAUAUCAUCUAAGUAUAAAAGAUAUAGAUUUUUCUUUCUAGAACCAGUGAAGAAUUCUUUUCCUGAGCAUGGUGGUUUUACUUCACAUAUGUUAGGUUUAAAAAUAACUUCAAAACCACUAUCGCAUAAUUGACUUAUGCUUAGUAGAUUGUGUUUUAACCCUUCAACAUACGUAACAUCCUCAACAUACCAGUAGUAUCUUUACCUUUAAUUUGUGCUUUGUAAUUAUUUCCAAAGGUACUAGUCCUCCUUCUUUCUUUAUGAAGGGGAUAACACAAUGUUUAUCCCCUGUCAUGUGUCUUGAACAAAAACUGCCUAAGUACCAUGACUUUUUCUUUGCAUUUUGAAAAAAUUUCUGCAUUUUGAGUUAGUGAUUCAUUAGGUACCCAUGAAGAUUUGGGUCCUUUGAUGUUAGUUUCUUUAAUCUCAAGAUGUUUAAUCUUGAGAAAAUAGGUUAGUUCUAGGUGACCCAUUCUUUUGCCAUAUGAACAUUCUGCAUAUUGAAGAAAAUGUUCUAGAAUUUUCAAAUUACAAUGUUAUGGUUUAGCUUUUAGUAUUUUUUUUUUAUUGAAACAAUCAGAUUCAAGAUAUCCAUCUUUAUCACAAAAUGAGCAUUUCAUUUGUUCUUUUCCUAGUAUAAAAAAGUUCUCAUAGAUAUUUUAUGAUUUUUAAAAACAUUAAAUCCCAAACCAACUUUAUCAAACAUUCCUAUUUUGAACCCAUAAUUUUUUGAAAUGUUUCCAUCGAUUUUAUAAAACAUGUGAGAUGAUUUUCUUUGACUAUGGUUUUAAGCAUAAUGUUUUCAUUAUUUUUAGAAUUUUAAGGAAGUUUAUUUUUACCAAAAGCCUUUAUUUUUUCGGUUGCUUAAAAAUAAGAGUUUUGCAAACUUUGAAUGAUUUUCUUUUAAUCAUUAUUUAAAGUUUGAAGUUUCUUUUUUUCUUCCUUUAAUUUAGAAAUUUCAUUUUGUAAAAAGUGGCAUUUGUUUGUUAGAAAAUUCGAGUCAAAGAAAUGUCGUAGUUUGUUACACCUAAAGCAAGUUACUUGACUUUUGUCAACCUCCAUUAGAAUUGGAAAGUAUCUUUUUAUUUGAUCUCUUCUUUUCAUCAUCCUUUGAAUUUUUUUAGAGAUGAGUGCUAGUUCAUUUGCUACUUCUCCUUGAACGAUUUCUUUAUCUUCAGUUUCUUUGAUUUCUUCACUUUGUGUGGAUGUGCUUUCUUGGUCAUUUUAAGAUGCCUCAAGAGCAAUCAUCUUCCCAUUUUUUAUUGGUUUGUCUUCUUGAAGUAUUGUUUCAUGAGUUUUUGGUAAUCCAAUAAGAUAUUCAAGAGCUAAGGUGUUUAGAUCUUUAGCUUGAGGGAUAGUAGUUGAUGAGUCAUUUAUUACCUAUUUCUAGAUAUUAUUUAGUUUAGUUUUAAUUAGAUUUUAGUUUAUUUUAUAUUAAUAUUAUUUCCUUUUUAAGAUAGUUUACUACAAAUUGCAUUUUAUUAUAUUUCAGGAAUGAAUAUUGGAUGAAUUGAGUCUUGGAGCAAAAGAAAGGGACUUGGAGCUGAUUCGGUACGAAAAUACAAAGAUUGGAAGACAAAAUAUGUCUCCCCUAAAGUCAGAAGCUUGGCACGGCCCGUGCUAGCAUUGGCACGGCCCGUGCUAGCAUUGGCACGGCCGUGCCACCCUCCAGAGUUGCUUUUGCUGCUUUUGCUUAGAUUUUAAGCUACUCUAUUUUUAGCCCGAAUGUAAUUGCUUAGAUUUUAAGUCGAAAGAAUGCUAUAAAUAGAGUAGCCAUCCAUCACAAAUAAUCAUCUUUUCUUGGAAUGCAAUAUGUGACAAUUGUCUUUCUAAUAAAAGUUCAUUUUGUUGGAACAAAAUGUGUUUCACAAUGAACCUUAUUAAGUUUUGAUGAUAACAAGGUAUUAAAAAUUGUCAAUUGGUUAUUACUAAUAAUUGUUCAAGUGUACAGGACCAAAGGCUACUCAAGUUAUUUCAUUAGGUCUUGGAAGAACAAUGGAAAGAAAAAAGAAAUUCUGAGCAUCUGAAGAAAACUGCUCCUGAAGCUAAACUGCUCCUGAAGAGAUGACGUCAUCAGAAGCAGAAAGUCAUCAAAAGCAGAAAGUCAUCAGAAGCAAUAUCUUCACCAGAAGCUACUUUUGAUCCUUUAAUCAAACUGAAGAUUCAAAGUUGCUGAUUCUCAAUUCAGUCUUAUCAAAGAAGAACAAAGAAUUGAAAGGGAGGUAUCAAGGAUAUAUGGAUAGCACUGAGCUCUUGUCUCUCGUUAAUAGAGUUGACAAAGUACAAGUGUACAACCACUACCUCCACUACUCUGUUUUCUGUCUACGCUACAAGACAAAACAACAGCCAUGCCUGCAGAAUUUGUACACUCAAGAUGGGAAUGAAUUUGAAGUUUAUUCUUCAAAGGACUACACCCAAAUCAGGCAAAGGAUCACUGGUGGAUAAUCAAAGGAUUUCAAACGACUCUUUAGACGUGCUGAUUAUCUCAACGUCUCUUUCACACCUCUAUAUAAAGGAAUGAAGACUUGAAGAUUUUAGAGAGAGAUACAUAAGUUUAAAAGCGCCAAAACUCUGUCAAUUUGAUUCUACAAAGCACACUGAAUUUCUGCACUGAUUUGAUACAUCUUAGAAAUUCAAAGUCUAGAGUCUUUUCUGUAUUGUAUUGUGAACACCACUGAUUGUAUAUCAAGUGUUCAAUUCAAACUCAAUUCUCUGUAUUUUUGUUUUGAUUAGAAGUCUCUCGCCUGCGUGCUUGAGCAUUAGAAGUCUCUUGCUUAGUGCUUGAGCAUUGGAAGACUCUUGCGUGUGUGCUUGAGCAUAGUUUUGUGAAGUCUCAUACUUAGAAAGUAUUGAGCAGUUGUAAUCUUUGUGAUUAUAGUGAAAUCUCCUUGGAAGUGCAAGGGGGACUGGACUACUUCCGUGUUGUGGAAGGAACCAGGAUAACUGCUUGUGUCUUUGUCUUUCUUUUCUCUGCUCUGUUCUUUUCCGCUGCAAUCUGACUCUGAUCAUUUCAUCAGAAGCAAUCAAACUGCUUCUGAAGUUUUAUCAGAAGAAGUAUUUUUUAAGAGAAAAAGAAAACACAAUUCCAACCCCCCCCCCCUUCCCUUGUGUUUUUCUACCUUCAAUUGGUAUCAGAGCUUGCUCUGUUAUCACAGCACUUAACCGUGUUACAGUUCAAGAUCUAUUAGAAAAACAUGUCUGGAGAUGAGGAAUCAACUACUACAAAAUACACAAGUGUCAAGCAUGACUAUGAUACUGCUGACAAGAAAACAGACUCUGGAAAAGCUCCAAAGUUUAAUGGAGAUCCAGAAGAGUUUUCAUGGUGGAAAACUAAUAUGUACAGCUUUAUCAUGGGAUUGGAUGAAGAGCUAUGGGAUAUACUGGAAGAUGGAGUUGAUGAUCUGGAUUUGGAUGAAGAAGGAGCUGCUAUAGACAGAAGAAUACAUACUCCUGCUCAGAAGAAGCUUUAUAAGAAACACCACAAGAUAAGAGGAAUCAUUGUGGCUUCUAUACCUCGCACCGAAUACAUGAAAAUGAGUGACAAAUCUACUGCGAAGGCUAUGUUUGCUUCUCUAUGUGCAAACUUUGAAGGCAGCAAGAAAGUAAAAGAGGCUAAAGCUUUGAUGCUAGUUCAUCAGUAUGAACUUUUCAGAAUGAAGGAUGAUGAGAGUAUAGAAGAAAUGUACUCAAGAUUUCAAACUUUAGUUUCUGGAUUGCAAAUACUGAAGAAAAGCUAUGUUGCUUCUGAUCAUGUUAGUAAGAUUUUGAGAAGCUUACCUUCAAGAUGGAGACCCAAAGUAACUGCUAUUGAGGAAGCUAAGGAUCUAAAUACUUUAAGUGUUGAAGAUCUUGUUAGCUCACUCAAAGUGCAUGAAAUGAGUUUAAAUGAGCAUGAAACCUCUAAGAAGAGUAAAUCCAUUGCUUUACCAUCUAAAGGAAAGAUCUCAAAAUCUUCCAAAGCCUACAAAGCCAGUGAAUCUGAAGAAGAAUCACCUGAUGGAGAUUCUGAUGAAGAUCAAUCUGUAAAAAUGGCUAUGCUGUCCAACAAGCUUGAGUAUCUGGCAAGGAAGCAGAAGAAAUUUUUGAGCAAGAGAGGUAGCUACAAGAACUCCAAGAAAGAAGAUCAGAAGGGAUGCUUCAAUUGUAAGAAGCCUGGUCAUUUCAUUGCUGAUUGCCCUGAUCUUCAGAAGGAGAAGUUUAAAGGCAAAUCCAAGAAAUCAAGCUUCAAUUCCAGUAAAUUCAGAAAGCAAAUCAAAAAGAGCUUGAUGGCGACCUGGGAAGAUUUGGAUAGUGAAUCUGGUUCUGAUAAAGAAGAAGCUGAUGAUGAUGCUAAGGCAGCCGUUGGGUUAGUGGCAACAGUAUCAUCAGAAGCAGUAUCAGAAGCUGAAUCAGAUUCAGAAGAUGAAAAUGAGGUAUAUUCCAAAAUCCCUAGACAAGAACUUGUUGAUUCUCUAAAAGAACUUUUAUCACUGUUUGAACACAGAACCAAUGAGUUGACAGAUUUAAAAGAAAAAUAUGUUGAUUUGAUGAAACAACAAAAAUCAACUCUAUUGGAACUGAAAGCUUCUGAAGAAGAACUCAAAGGGUUUAACCUCAUAUCAACAACAUAUGAAGAUAGACUCAAGAGUCUUUGUCAGAAGCUACAAGAAAAAUGUGAUAAAGGUUCAGGCAAUAAACAUGAGAUUGCCUUGGAUGAUUUUAUUAUGGCUGGAAUAGACAGAAGCAAAGUUGCUUCUAUGAUCUACAGCACAUACAAGAACAAAGGCAAAGGGAUUGGAUAUUCUGAGGAGAAAUCCAAAGAAUACAGUCUCAAGAGCUACUGUGAUUGUAUCAAGGAUGGAUUGAAAUCCACCUUUGUGCCUGAAGGUACAAAUGCUAUAACUGCUGUUCAGUCAAAACCUGAAGCUUCAGGUUCACAGGCUAAGAUCACAUCAAAGCCAGAGAAUCUUAAGAUCAAGGUAAUGACAAAAUCUGAUCCUAAGAGUCAAAAGAUUAAAAUUCUGAAAAGAUCAGAACCUGUUCAUCAGAAUCUGAUUAAACCAGAAUCUAAAAUUCCAAAACAAAAGGAUCAGAAGAACAAAGCAGCUACUGCUUCUGAGAAAACAAUACCAAAAGGUGUCAAACCUAAAGUAUUGAAUGAUCAGAAGCCACUCAGCAUUCACCCUAAGGUACAAGGGAAGGAAAAGUAAAACCUCCAAAACUAACCCAAAAGGACCCAUGAAGAUAUGGGUACCUAAAUCUGAAUUGGCCAAAAAUGCAGGUGUGCCUAAGGGCAAGAGAGAAACAAAGGUCAAGGUACCUAGACAGCGGAUGUUCAAGGCACAUGGACUGGAGAGAAAGCUUUGUUCCUUACCCUUACAAUGAAAGAUGGAGGAGAAGUGAAGUUUGGUGGCAACCAAACUGGAAAGAUCAUUGGUACAGGUACUAUUNNNNNNNNNNNNNNNNNNNNNNNNNNNNNNNNNNNNNNNNNNNNNNNNNNNNNNNNNNNNNNNNNNNNNNNNNNNNNNNNNNNNNNNNNNNNNNNNNNNNGGGUACAAAAAUUAACUGCUCACUUUUAUUCACGUGAAAGGGGAAAUGAUGCCUAUAAAAAUAGAAUGUGGGGGCAGUAGGAGUAUGGUAUAUAACUACUUUAAUACUACUGGUAUACAUAAAAGAGGAAAUUAUUAGGACCUGUUCUAUAAUUGGUAGAUAUCCACCAACAUUUGGGAGUAUGGUACCAUUUGACAGUAUUCCACCCUCACCACCAAUUCCAACAGCAACAUCAUCUCUCCCCAUCAUGUACAGCAAGUCAUAAAUUUGGUUCACAGCAUGCCCUGCACUAGUCCAGCUAUUUGCACUGAUGGUCACUGCCUGCAGAUUAAGGACCAAAUCAACUUAAGUAGAAAUUUUUUCCGGGGAAAUCGUACUAUUUUUCUUUUGCUUCAAAAAAUAAUGCAAAUUAAUUAGUUAUAUCUACACUAUAUAUGGUUUUGGGAUGAUUUUUUACUUUCAAUUAUACCCCUAAAUAAAUUUGCAUAUAUAAAAAUGUUAUUAUUUUAUAUUAUAUCUUUUAUAUUGUAUACUAUAUAUAAAUCGAAUACAUUAUUUCGAACGGGUUUUUCACUUUUCCUAUUAAUAAAAAUUUAUCAAUGUAAUCCUUAAAGUAUAAAUAAAAUUUUGUCAUAUAAGUUAAUUAUUUUUAUCAUAUUUACACAAUUAAGAGACUAGAUUGGAGAUAUGAAGAUAGUUCAAAGACUAAAUAAAUAGUUUAUUCUAAAAAAAACGGACUGUGUUAUCUUCCUUUCAUAUUAAUAUUUGGAUCUUUUCCAUGGUCCUUUCUAUAAAAUCGAAAAUGGAUCAAUAAAAAUUGAUUUGUUGGUUUAUAUUAUAGAUCAAAUUCAUUUAUGUUUAUUGACAUGUUUGUUUAAUAUAAGUGAUUUUUGACAAAACAUAUUUUAAUAUUGAUAGCUAUGAAGAAAAUAUGGAUAUUGUUUAUUUUUAAAAAAAUAAAAUGAGUCAAAUUAAAGUUUACCGGUCAAAGAAGUAAUCGAGAUUAGGAGUAGAUAAUUAACAUUAAACUAAUUAACUAAUGAAAAGAGAAAAAGAAAGGAUGGUGAGUGAGUACUGUAGCUUAACAAGAUUUGCAGGUUUGUUUCAUGAUAUAUAUACCUCCAAUUGAAAUUGUGAAGUGUUGAGCUUAAGAAGAUAAAGCAGAGCAAAUAAAUCAUCAGUAUCAACAUCAGUAUCCACAACAAUUCGUUGAGGCUUUCCCUCCACUACAGAAGCUAUAAACAACAACACUGUAACAGCUGCAGCUACCCUCCGUAGCAACAUCCUCAGACCCAGAAAGAAACUACGUUGUUGUCUUGUCUUGAAACGUUGCUUUGACAAUUUUGAUUGAUGAUGUUCUCUACUUGCACUAUUUAUUGAGAUAUAUAUCUGAUGACGUGAUUGCAUUUUCAUUCCGGAAACGAUAAAACAUAAUAAUUAAAAAACAAAACAUGGCAAAAUUAUAUUACACGUGUGGUCCCUUGUCUAUUACUAUUUUUCUUUUUUUAAUGUCAAUAAUUGAUGUGAUUUAGUCAUAUGUUUACUAUUAUCUCGCUUUCUUUUUAAUUGUCAUAUUUUGACAUUUUACACAAACCAAAACAAUCAAUAAAUAUUACUAUUUUUUGAUACAAUAAUUUUUAUUUUUACUAUAAUAACCUUAUUUAUUUAAUAUUUCAUUACAUAUAUUUCUCUCUCUAUAAUAAUAAAUAAGGGUAAUAUUAGUAAAAUAACAUUUAAUGUUGCAUUGAACUAUGUAAAGUGACACUUAAAUGAAAACAAUUUUUUUUACAAAAGAGACACUUAAAAAGGAACGGAGGGAGUACUCCCUCUGGUCCUAUUUACAAGAGAAAGUUGACUCUUUUUAAAUACAUUGAAUAAUGUAUGUAUCUAGUCAAGAACCUAAAUCAAAUACAUAAAUUAUUCAAUGUAUCUAAAAAGUAAAUUGUCUCUUGUAAAUAGGACCGGAGGUAGUAAUAGUUUUCAAACUUUAAUUUAUCAUCAUUCAUGCGUGUUUGGUUUGUAUAUGAAUUUUACCUAAAUUUAAAGUUUGGAAAUUGUGUUUGGAGUUUGAAUUUCAAACCGCCUAUAGUAUACAUAUAAUUUUGAGAAAAAAAAACAUAAUGAUUAUAUUAAAAAGAGUAGCACGUGCACGCAAAUAUAGUAGGGACUUUGUGUAUUUGGAAUAUUUGAAUUGGACAGAGUAAGUAAGAGAAGGAAAAGGACGACCAAAUUAAGAAUUUUCAACUCGCGAUUCACGUGCCUCCUCCUGGCAUCGAAAGAGUAGUACUUUGGAUAGGCUAAAAUAAAAUAUGGUUUUAGUCCUGUAAAUAUGCUUCGUUUUGGUUUUAGUCCUGUAAAAAAAAUUAUUUUUGGUCCCUGCAAAAUUUUUUGUUUUUGAAAAUAGUCCUUGCAGGGACCUUUUUUAAAAACAAAAUAUUUUGAGGGACCAAAAACUACAAAAUUGGUUUAGUUAUAAUGUGUCACGUAUGCAAAUCAUCACAAAAGUGGGGUCAGUGACUAUUUUCAAAAACAAAAAAAUUUUGCAAGAACCAAAAACAUUGUUUUUUACAGGGACUAAAACCAAAACGAGGCAUAUUUGUAGGGAUUAAAGUCAUAUUUUAGCCUUUUGGAUAAUGUAUUGUGGCCGGUCACAAUCACAUAACACCCAAACGCAACCAAUUCUAAGUGUACGUAUUACCACCGCUUCUUUCACUCACCAACGUGAAUCACUUUCAAAUUAUCAAACUGAUAAUGAUAGAACGACGAGUGUUUUGACCGGUCUUUUUCUAACAUUUACAUUUUUGUUGGGUGAUUCAUGUGUAUCACACAUUGAAAAUAAAUCAUACAUAAAGUGGUGAAACUACGUGGGUUUCUUUUUUUUUGUCAGGUAGUCUAAUCGCUAGAAUUUAUCUUAUAAGGUAAAUCAUACAUAAAGUUUGAACUCCAACCCUUACAUAUAAUAAUAUAUUGUCCUACCAACUAAGCUGUGCGUACGGGAUGAGCAUUCAUAACAUUUAUUCAUUAAAAAUCUUUAACAUAUCAUAUAUAUUUCACUACUCUUUAUAUUUCUUUCUCUCAUUGUAUUUCGUUGUUUAUUUAUGAUAGUGGUUAACAUCUAAUGGGUAAUAGAGAUUUUAAAAAUAAAAAAAAACCUUCAAUGUCAGGUCAGGGAAGUAAGCAAGACACCCACAAUAUAAUGGACUAUAGGGUUUGAAUCUCGACUUUCUUCAACAACAAAAGAAAAAGUUUCAAUCUCGACUGAAAAAGAUGGCUACAUUAAUAUUUGAUAAUGUCUCGUAUUAGAUUUACUAAGUGGAAGAAUCCCAUGGAAAACUUACACACAAAAAUUAAUUUUCUAGAAUGAUUUGAAUAAAUAUAUGCAUGAAGCGUGCCUAAAUUGAUGAACUAUCUUUCUUCUUAGAUUGAUUCACCAUCCAUUAUUUUCUUCUAGCGGGUGGGGUUAGUUUAUUGGCAUAAAUUAAUGGUGGUGGAAAAAUAUUUCAUUAUUUUGAACUUCAAAUUAAUUAUAGAUUCACUUUUUUUCUUUUUAAAAAGUUUAGGUGAGUAGUACUUCGAGGAAUUACCAAAUUCAGGGCAAGUCCGAAGAUUCAAGGACAUUUAUGUAAUUAUUUACGGAUCACACACCAUUUUUUUUAACAUCGACAAUAAAAAUUAAACUUAUGACCUUGCAUGCGAGCCAACUCUACGCUAACUAAAUCAACCUUCAUUUGUUUAUUCACUUUUAUUUAGCUACACCUUUCUAAUCUAUGCUAAAAUAUCCACCUAAAUCAUAAAUGACAAUUAAUAUAAAGAAAAAGAAAAUAAAAAAGAAUGGAACAUAAAGAGUCCUGAAGUCCAGCAGAAAAUAAUACUUUAAAGAGGCUUUGACUUUAUAAUAAUAUAUUUAGGUACCGUUUGGUUCGGCUUUUUUUCAGCUUCUCUAUAUUUUUAAGGAGAAGGUAGGUCAAACACAAUAUCAAUAAAGUACCUUCGAAAAAAAGUACUUUUUUAGAAUGCAUAAAAUUGAACGGAAUGAGCUUUAACCAAAAGUUAUUGAAUGAUACUUCAGAAAACUAUUUCUUUGUAAUUUAUUUCACAAGCAUCUCUAUUCAAUUCACGCAUACAACCUUUUCUUUUAUUUUUUAAUAUUAUAUUUCAAUUUGUUUUUUCUUCCAUUUAAUUUUUUUUUUAACCGGUCCAUAUAAUUUUUUUAAAGGAGGAUCAAUUUAAUUUUAUUAUUUAUUUUUGAAGGAAUUUUAUUAUCUUUUUAUUACUUAUAUAUUUAAUUUUAAUAUCGUUUAAUUAUCACAACCUCACAAAUAUUUUUAUUCAUGUUGUCGUUGAAUGACACCAAUUAUUUUUAUUCUCUUUCUUCAACCUCACAAAUAUAUACACACACAUUAGCGUUUAGAGUAAUAUUUUAUGUUCCUAUGUCUGUUUUUUUGUUACGCUAAUGCGUAUAAUUUUUUUAGUGUUGCGUAAUGCGUACAAUUAUUAUUUUUAUAAAAUUUUGAUUUUAAAUAAAAGUACAAGUAUAGAUGCCUAAAAAAAUUAUACUUAUAUAUAUUUUACACAUUUAUAUUAUAACAAACUAUGCAUAUAUUUUUUUUAUUAAAAAAACUAAACAUAUAUUUUUCAAUGACACCAACAAUGUAACAAAUAUAAUAUCAUAUGAUAUAAAUUCUUAUCUUUUUAAAUGACACAAAAAAUAUGUUAUUCUUAUAACAAAAUUUGUUAUACAGUAUAAUUGGAAAAGAAAAAACAAACUAUUCUCUAGUUUAGCUCAGUUGAUAUAGUCAAUGCAUAAAUAUAUGCAAGGUCGCGGGUUCGAACCCCGGACACCACCAAAAAAUAAUAAAUUCAAAGUUUUGUACAAUAUUAUGCCAAAGAACUUUUAACUUAAAAAUAACUUUAGAACUAAAAAAAAUAAAGAAAUCAAACAACUUUAACUUUUUCCUUAAAUUAAAGAGCUUUAUUUUAACUUUAUUUUAAAGUAGCUUUUAGACUGAAAAAAAGUCUGGUCAAACGGUACCUAUACAACUAUUUAGCGACAACUUUAUUUUUCUUUCUUUUUAUUUACCAAAAACUAAAGAGAGAGAAACAAAGAAGAGAGUAAAAACAUAAUGUGAUAUAAAUAUGAAAGAGAAUUCUUCUAAAGUUGUCACAAAAUAAUUAUACAAAAAUCUUUUCUUUUUUUUUUGUCAAAAGCAAAAGCGAUAUUCAUUCAUUCAAAUCAAUAAAGUACAUCAUUCAACACCGCUAAAAACGUAAAGGAGUCUGCGAACAAACUCACAACAUCCAAGUUAAUAGCAUAUAACGGCAUAAUGACUACAAAAAUAUAUGAUAAAAUUUAAGUGAUCGGAAUACCAAUGCCCCCAGAUCUGCAACGUUGACGCCCAAAUAUGUGAUUGAAUAAUCGAUCUUUCAAUAGAAAUCAAAUGAACACUGCAACAAGAUGGAAAAUCAAACAACGCCGCACAAGACGACGAACAACACACCACCACACUCAGGUGACGAAAUCAUUAAGAAAAAACCUAGAUGUAUGUGAAAAAUCACUUAUUUAGAUUGAAAUAGAGAGAAAAUGAUGAAGAGGUGUGAUUCCAGGUCAAAAAUUUACCUAAAAUCACCCCUCAAUGAAAAAUUGGAAGUGAAAAACUUAGAGAAAAAAAUUAGGGCCGACUUAUUGGAGAGAGAUAAAAGUUAUAUCAAUGUAAUAGGAAUGAAUAGUGAUCAUUUAAGUUUGACCUAUCACUUACUCCUAAAAAAACUUUGACCUAUCACUUUAAUAUAUCAAUAAAUGAAUUGAUAUUAAAAUUUGUCUCCAUAUACUCCAUUCUAUUAUCCUUAUUAUAUAAUAAGUAUUUUUGUUUUAUAUGAAUAAAUUAGCAUCAAUUAUAUAUGUACAUGUAUAUAUGUGUGUGAAUUUAGAAAUUUACACCUAACUAUUUAGAAAUUAUUUCCACGCAUUAAAACUCGACUUUUUCUCCAUUUUUCUGUAUGAGUUUUUAAUGAUGAUGGCCACUUCGUCCAUCUAAAAAAACUCACUUUUUCAUUUAAAAAUGACUUAUAAUGAAUGCAUCUCUUUUUACCAAAAACUUACACCCGCAUUUAAAAUUAUUCAAAACAAAAUCCUUAAAAUAAAAUAUACUCCAUUUGAUCACUAUUAUCCAAUGGUCUUAGAAAAUGGUUUUUACUUGUAAUAAUAACAUGAAGGUGUAAAUGAUAAGAGUUUAAAAAUAAACGGCGCAACUGAUUUUCCAAGUCUCCUUCCCACAAAUCGCCACACAAUCAACAUCAACACAACACAUCAUUUUCAAAUAUUUUCUUCAGAUUUGGUUGUACCUAAAAUGUUACGUAAGUAAUUGUAAAUAUAAGAAAAAAAAAUGUUAUGCAAGUGUCAUUUCACUUAUGGGUCAAGUUAGGAACAUCGACUGAGUACACAAGUGACCUCCACAUCAACUCUCAAAAUUUAACAAGACACAAAUUUAACAUAUUUACUUUCAUAGGAAUAUUUAAUUCAAGAAUGACCACAUAUUUAACGAAAUUUAAUCAGCAAUUAAAUCAAGUCAGGAACAUCGACUCAACACAAGGAUGAUCAAGCAUGUUUAUUCUCAAAUAACUAAUAAUCAAAUAAGACCUUUUGUCUUUAGGGAAGAAAAAAAAUUAGACAAUAAGAUGAGUUAGUAUGCAUCAUAUUCAUAUGUAAGACUCGAUGAUCUAGAUAUCACAUCAACUGACAUAAAAACCCCAUACCAACCGACCAAAAUCGCCACAUUUGGCAAGUAACAAAACACCCCUUUUGGCAAGUAAUUAACAAACUCCCCAUUUGGCAAGUAAUAAAACGUCCCAUUUGGCAAAGUAACAACGCCCCAUUUAGUAGUCUAUGCCUCUGUUUGGUUUGGCUUUUGCAAAGCCAGAAUCAAUUCUGGAGCAUUUCAAAAGCAAUUCUGCAAUAUUUAACAUGUUUGGUUUGGCUUUUUAAAAUAGCUUUUAUCCUCCAAAAGCAAUUUUAGUUGAAGCUACAAUUCCUAGCUUCUUACUUUCCUAGAAUCAAUUCUACACCCUCAAUUCUAUUAAUUCCAUCCCUGCCCUCAUUAAUUUUUCUAACCCUUCUCCAACCGAAUUUUUCUUUCUGCAGUCUUAUUAAAAUAAAUGUUGGUGAAGAGAAUAACAUUUAUUUUCUGCAGUCUUAACUCUCAAUUCUAUUAAUUCCAUUCCCCCCUUCACAGUCCACUUUUCUCAACCAUAAUUCAACCACCCUUCCCAAAUUUNNNNNNNNNNNNNNNNNNNNNNNNNNNNNNNNNNNNNNNNNNNNNNNNNNNNNNNNNNNNNNNNNNNNNNNNNNNNNNNNNNNNNNNNNNNNNNNNNNNNGCUUUCUCCAGCUGUUCAACGGCUGCUUCCCGUAGUUCUUCUGAAUUUCGAAUAGUUCUCAAGAUUCUCUGUUUUCGAUUAUCUAAUAAAUCACUUAAUGAAAGUAGAUUCUCUUUGCAUUUAGUUCAAAAUGUCUAUGAUCUCUUCCCGAACCAAACAUGAAUCUUUCAAUUCAUUUGGCUCUCACACUCAAUUCCUUAUAGGAAAUUUCCCUAUAUUAUCGAAUGAGCCUAUCCUCUUUUCUCUAUUUCUAAAAAUCUUGAAAAUGAUUACCAAUACAAGAUUAAAAUAUUUGGAGGACUCUUCUGACCAAACAAAUAAUUGUCAGCAAAGUUUGUUUUUUUUUUUAUUCAAAUCCAAAGAAUUCUGAUUAAUUUAUACGUAGGUCAUCAAUUCCGCAUUGUAUAAAAGGAGGCGUUAAACAAAACACCUGUUUUUCCUAUUUUUCAUCGUAAAGAGAAUUCAAGUCAUUUUAUCGACAUGAGUGUUCUAUAUCGAAAAAAUUACAAUUUCCGUAUUAACAUAGUGGUAGAAAGAAUACUACAUUGCGUCUAAACUUCAAACUGGUUAGCUUUAACCAUGGUAAUGCUCCAAAAUUAUUGGUUGAUAGAGAAUCAAAGUAGAUUUACCAAUGAAUCGCGAAAUGCUAUGGUUCUUAACUAUUUUUUAGUUUAUUUAGUAAGAAGUCAUUCGCCGGAUCAUGCACGUUUUUCUAGUUAUAACGAAAAAAGUGCAGUUGGUUGGAUCCAAUCUAUUCUUUGAAAUAAACAACUCGCACACACUCCCUUUCCAAAAAAAAUUAAUACACCUAGCACUACACUUAGAUUUAUUAGAUUUGUUGCUAAAAUAUCGGUAUCAAACCCGAAACUUCCGGCGGAUGGCCAGUAAAUGAAGCAAAGAAAAGAAUCGGUUAUAUUUUUCAUAUGAUCGCAUCUCCUCUUAUGGAUAGACUAAUUUUGUUUCUACGAUUCCCAGUUUUUUGAUUUUUUUAUUCGUUUUUUUAUAUUAAAUUCAAGUUUAUUGUAUAAUAUUUUUAUUUCUUACUAAUAAUAAUAAUUAAUUAACUAAUAAUUAAUUAAUAUGAAUUACUAAUAAGAAUCUGAAUAGAAUAAGAAUUUUAUUGUAUCUAUUAGAGAAUAUAGAAUAUAUUUAUUAAUAAAUAUAUUCUAUAUUUUGAAUUGGUUAGUCAAUUGAAAGAUUCCUCAUAAGAAUGAUACCUCUUAGAAGUAGAUACUAGUUCUUAUGUCAAUUGCAAAAUAUCUAGUUGUUUUCAAUUCUAAAUUAAAAAAGGGGGCGCUCGUUGGACUAAAUAAAGGGACGGAAGAAGGCGAAUCCAUAUGUUAAUCCAAAUGAAGAAUAAAUUGUAGGAGUUAAAUCGGAAUAUCUAUAUAGAAAGAAUAUAUAUAUAUAUAAAGCAAUAGCAGCAAUGAAAGUCCACGGAAAAAACAAUAUGUAUUUUUCUUUUUCUAUUUGUUUAAAAGAUUAAACAAAAGGAUUGGCAAAUAAAAGUGCUAAUGCUACAACCAGCCCAUAAAUAGUUAAAGCUUCCAUAAAAGCCAGACUAAGUAAUAAAGUACCCCUUAUUUUGUCCUCUGCUUCCGGUUGUCGCGCAAUCCCUUCUACAGCUUGCCCUGCAGCUGUACCUUGACCAACUCCAGGUCCAAUAGAAGCAAGCCCGACGGCCAACCCAGCAGCGAUAACAGAAGCAGCAGAAAUCAGUGGAUCCAUGAUAAGUUUCUCCUAUUCCAAAUAAAAUAAAGAAAAGAAAUAGUUAAUAAUAUAAUCAACCAAGAAAUUAUGACUUAAUUAUUUCAUUCUUCAUUUAUCUAGUCGAAGUUUAAUUCAUGAAUAAUUUUUAUUGAAUUAUCCAAAUAACUUCGAUAUUCAUUUUUUUUUUUUCGUUUCUAUCCAUGUAGUUUUUUGUGAAUACAUACAAUUUUUGUUCUUAUCUUAAAUUUUGAACCAUUCUUUUAAUUCUUCGUUCUUUCUUUUUCUUUAUUUCCAUUUUUGAGUUAUUCAAUACCUAAAUUUAGAGUAGUAGCAGGACGAAUUUAGAUAGUCAUAUAUAACUAAUGAAUAUCUACUAUGACAUAUACAUGUGUUUGUUCGAUACCGUAAACCAAUUAGUUAUACCUUAGAUUCAAUAGGAUUCGAGAAUCAUUCUUGGAAACCCCUAAAAAACUAAGAGUUGUCUUAUAACGAUUAGAUUCUAUAUACACUUAGUUCGACCCCCUCACCCUAUUUUUUGUCCUUUGUUUUAUUCAUUAUUAUCCCAUAUGGAUUAUCCCAUAUGGAUCGAAUUAAUCUAAAUCAAUUCGAAAGACCAAAUUAUUACUGUGGAAAUAUUCGAAUUUUAUUUUAGGAAAAUCAAAUAAACUUUUGUCAAUUAUUAAAUGUGAAUGAAUGAAACGGAAAUAUUUUGUAGUUCGAUAUAACAUCUUUUUUUUUGAAUCACAUGUCGUAAACAACGUAGAUAUCAUCCGAAAUUAUAGUUCCCAAUCUAAUAUUUCUAAUAUUAAUUAAAUAUAAUAUACUAAUAAUUAAUAUACUAAUCAUUAAAUAUAUUAAAUAUACUAAUCAAUUUUGACAUCUAAUAAGAAUUUUAAUUAAUUAAUUAAUAUACUAAUAACAAAGGUUGAAUAUGUUUAUAGUUCUAAUUGAAUGAACAAAAUAAUAAAUCAAAAUAAUAUUCAUUGGAGUAAAAUACAAAUUGAUCAAAAAAAGAUUAUUUUGAUAACUAAUCAAUGAUGGCCUUCCAUGGAUUCACCUAUAUAAGCCGCAGCUAAGGUAGCAAAAAUAAGAGCUUGAAUACCGCUUGUAAAUAAUCCCAGAAACAUAACUGGUAUAGGAACUACUAAAGGUACUAACGAAACAAGAACAACAACUACUAAUUCAUCAGCUAAUAUAUUUCCGAAAAGUCGAAAACUAAGCGAUAAGGGUUUUGUAAAAUCUUCUAAGAUGUUAAUCGGUAAAAGGAUUGGAGUUGGUUGGAUGUAUUUACCAAAAUAAGCCAAUCCUUUUUUUGAAAUACCCGCAUAGAAAUAGGCUACUGACGUAAGUAAAGCUAAUGCAACAGUAGUAUUUAUAUCAUUUGUGGGUGCAGCUAAUUCUCCAUGAGGUAACUUUAUAAUUUUCCAAGGCAAAAGAGCCCCUGACCAAUUCGAAACAAAAAUAAAUAGGAACAAAGUUCCAAUAAACGGAACCCACGGACCAUAUUCUUCUCCAAUCUGAGUUUUGCUCACGUCUCGGAUGAAUUCAAGGACAUAUUCAAAGAAAUUCUGACCGGACGUUGGAAUAGUUUGCGGAUUUCUAACAACUAGAAUGGUUGAAAUUAAUAAGAUAGCAAUUACAACCCAAGAGGUAAUAAGUACUUGAGCAUGCACUUGAAAAUCCCCUAUUUGCCAAUAGAAAUGUUGACCUACUUCGACAGCAGAUAUAUCAUAGAUUAAUGUGUUGAUGUAACAUAAUAGAACAUUCAUAUUGCCCUGCCCUCUAAAAAAAAUAUAUAUAUAUAACUUGAAAGGGAAUUAUUUUGAUUCAACCAUUUCCUUAUUUGACUUUCAUUUCCUUUUCUAUUUUAUUUUGAAUACCUACUAAUCACAAAAUAUUUAUUUUUGCACAAUUUUGUAAUGCUAUAAUAACCGAUUCCAUAAAUCUACGACCGCCCAACCAAAUCUAACAAUUUCUUUAUCUUAUUAUUAAUCAAAAAUUUCGUAUAUAGCUAGAACGACCCUCACAAAUUGCAAAAACUAAUUUGUUAAGAAUUAAUCGGAUUGAAGCUAUAGCAUCAUCAUUAGCUGGAAUCGAAAUAUCUGCUAGAUCUGGGUCACAAUUUGUAUCGAUUAAACAAAUCGUUGGAAUUCCCAAAGUGAUACAUUCUUGAAGAGCCGUAUAUUCUUCUUGCUGAUCAAGGAUUAUUACUAUAUCGGGUAACCCUGUCAUAUAUUUUAUGCCACCCAGAUAUGUUUCCAAAUGAGAUAAUUGUCUCUUGAACAUAGCGGCAUCUCUUUUUGGAAGAGAGUUCAGUUUCCCUGUCUUUUGCUCCGUUCUCAAGUCCCUGAACUUACGAAGUCUCGUUUCUGUAGUAUACCAAUUCGUUAACAUACCUCCGAGCCAUUUUUUAUUAACAUAAUGACAUCGAGCUCUUAUUGCAGCCCGUCUUACUGAAUAGGCUGCUUUUUUUUUUGUACCAACAAUUAAGAAUUGUUUUCCUAUGCUUGCUGCAUCAAAAACCAAAUCACAAACUUCUGAUAAAAAACGAGCAGUUCGAGUAAGAUUUGUAAUAUGAAUACCUUUACGCUUUGCCGAUAUAAAAGGUGCCAUUCGAGGAUUCCAUUUCCGAGUAUCAUGGCCAAAAUGAACUCCAGCUUCCAUCAUCUCUUCAAAAGUUAUGUUCCAAUAUCUUUUUGUCAUUUAUCCCCACACGUUUUUUUUUAAGUGAAAAAAACGAGACCAGGUAUCCUGAAAUAGCAAUAAAUAAUUGUUCCGAUGGAACCUUCUCUUUUCUAGACGAUUGGCCGUUAAUAUAUAAUCAGGUCAUUCAUUUUUUUCUAUUUAUUAUACUUUAUUACCAAAAUUACCCAAUCAAAUGACUGCAUUUAAAGGGAUGAAUUGAAUGCUUCCUAAAAGCGCAUUCAAUCCUAUAGUUCUAAUGUAUCAGAGAAAAUUAUUUGAAAUGAAAAGAAUCAAAUAAAUUUCUGUGAUGGAACAAAAGAUUUCGAAUUUCUACUUCGAAUAAUUUUUUUUUUUUUCAAGGUAAUUUUGUUAUAUUGCCUUGACCGUGAACGGUGCAUUAUUCUUUUGAAUCCGGUACCAACGGGUAUCAUUCCCCCUAAAACAACAUUCUCUUUAAGACCUUUCAACCAAUCAAUACGACCCCGAAGAGCGGCUUUUGCUAAAACUCUAGCAGUUUCUUGAAAACUCGCUUCGGAUAUGAAACUUUGAGUAUUCAGAGAUGUUUUUGUUAUUCCCAAUAAUAAAGCUCGGUAACAAAUUGCUUCUUCCAAGGCACGCCCAGUUCGUUCUGCUCGCAAUAAUCCAAUUAAUUCACCGGGUAAAAAUACAUUAGACAUUCCAUCUUCUGAAACCAAGACUUUGGAUGUUAUUUGACGCACAAUAAUUUCGAUAUGUCUAUUAUGGAUGUGUACUCCCUGGGAUCGAUAAACCUUUUGGAUUUUAUUAACCAAAGAAAUACGACUUUGCGCUAUAGUUAGCUCAGCACCAAUCAAGAAUCCCCAAGGAAUGCCGAGAAUUCUUGUUAUACACUCAUUCCAAGCAUCAAUUCUUUUUUCGAGAUUCAUCGAUAUUGAAUCAAUCGAACGUAUUUCUAAUAUCUGUUCCACUUUUGGAAGACCUUGUGUUAUAUCACUGGAUCUCGAUUUUUCAUAUAUGAAUGUAACUAAAAUAUCUCCUUGAUAAAGGAUUUCUCCAUAAUGGCCAUGAAUGGUUGCUUCUGGAGUCGCCAAAUAUGGGUUAGCCGAUCUUAUUAUUACAGAAUCCAUUUGAACAGUUAUAACUUGACCCGAUUUUAGUUUUAGAUGUGGUCCAUUUUUCAUUUUAGCUAUACAUAUAUUUUCACAAAUAAAUUGUCCAAGACUAAUUAUUGUAAACGUUUUUUCACAAUAAUAAUGAUGGAGAAAAUACCAAUUCAAAUGGAAUGGAUUCAAAACGAUAUUACUGUCUAGAUCGGGUUUAAAAAUUUUAUCAUUUUCGUCCAUUAAAUAAUAUUUAAUUACUUGAAAAAUUUCCGUUAUUUUGUCAAGUUGGAAAUUUUUCAUUAUUGAUAUUUGAUUAUGAGUUAUUAAAUGGUAAAGUGAAUAAAAAUUUCCAACUUGACGGGCUAUUCCUAAAGGACCUAAUGAAUUAUUAUUAUUAAUUGGAAUUUUAGGAUUUUUUUUUAUCCCAUUGUGAUAUUUAACAUUGUUGAAUGGUCUUAUUUGAAAACAAUUAGAUGAUGACAAAAUUAUCCAAGAUCGGCAUUCCUUAUUUCUAUUCAACAACAUACGAAUAGUUCCGUGAUUUUGGCUAAGUGAUUUUUUAAUUUUUGCCUUGUAAUGAAUGGAAAAAAAUGGAUUGAUAUUGAUCCGAUCCGAUUCAUUAUCCGCGAUCAAUCCUAAACCAGAUGGGUCAUUUCUUUUUCUGAUAUAUGCAGUAUUCGAUUUUACUAAGUCAAUUCUUAGAAAAUACUCAAUCAAACCGUUUGUACUUACUUCAACAAAGGAAGAGGGGGCCUCCUCAAUAGAAGGACUUUUUUUGCCUUGAUCCCAAUUCAAGACUAAACAAGUCCGAACUAAUUGAAUCCUUGUGUCGGAAAUUCCCCGAAUGGAUUUUCCAUUUCCAUAAAGAAUAUAAUUGACAACUUUGAGUUCCAGAUUAUCCCUUUCCUGGAAUAGAUCUUGGGGAAAAAGUUUUAUAAAAUCGAUACUGUCCGGUAUUUCAUAUAAAAUUACAGGUCGAACCAAAACAAAAUACUUUUUCUUGGUAGUUGCGAUCCAUUGGACAUAGAUCCAAUUAUUAAUUUUUUUUGAUUCCUUCCGUUUUUUUUUUACCGUUCCGGGUGGUAUCAAGAUAGAACUGUGUCGGGAUAUCUUAUCCCUCUCUCCGGGAAAAUGGAUAUUUCCAGAAAAUAAUUUUAAUUCGAUUUUUUUUUUUUUCUUUUCUAAUCGGACCAAUCCGCCUACUCGACUUCUUAUAUUGAAAGUGAUUGGUGUUCCUAUUCCAACGAGACUAUUAUUCCGUACCAUUAUGGAAGAAGAUUCGGGUAAAAUAUGCACUUCUUCGGGAAUAAAAAAAAAUCGAUCUACUUUGAUUUGGUAUUUUGGCUUUAAUUCUUUGAUUCCUCGAUACUCAAUGAAAUCUUCUUUUUGAAAAACGGAAUGAAUUCCUACAGUUCUAUAUUUAGUAAUUCCUGAAUUCUGUCUUCUGUAUUGAGGAUCAUCGAAAUAAGCAAAAAUACUAUUUCUAUGAAAAAUACCAUUGAUAGGUAUUUCAAUGGAAACACCAAAAGGGCGCAUUAGUUCGUUCUUUCGUUCUUGAAUCGAUUGGAAUGGAAUAAGAAAUCGAUUUCUUCGUCUUUUGGCCAAUAAAUAAAAAGUAUCGUGAAAAAUAGCAGGAUACAUUAAAUGAGAAUGAUCCGUACAUAUCAUUUGAUUCAAUAUUGAAUAAUUGCUAAUCCCCUUUUCUUUUGUACCAAAGGUCUUCAAACUUAAUAAUUUGAGUUUUACUUCAUCAUUACUUACUAAAAGAUUAGAAAUAUUUCUUUUUCCAGUAGAAAGAGAAUCAAUGUUAAUUUGAUCUUGAUCCUUGCGAAGUAAAAAAUGGAUUGUAUCAGACCUGCACGACUUUCCUGAUAAGAUCCAUAAAUGACUUGUUUUUGGUAAGAUAUGUACAUUACUAUACAAAAAUUCGGAUGCAUGGUACACAUCGGUACUCCAAUGCAUUUCCCCUUCUGAGUCAGAAUAAAUAUGUUUUCGAACCCUUUCUUUCAAAUUAAAAGUAGAUGUUCCCGCGCGGAUCUCAGCAAUCACUUGUUCUGAUUUUACAUAUUGAUCAUUUUGAACUAAUAGAAAACUUUUUGGUGGAAUAAUCACGUUAUGUAUAAUAUCGUCACUUUCAACAGUUACAUACAAGUCUAUAUUACAUAUAAAAGCAGGAUAUCCAUGACGUGUACGUGUAGGGUGAACUAAAUCUUCAUUAAAUUUUAUUUUUCCAUUCGAGGGGGCUCGCGCAUAUUCCGCAGUACCCCCUGUGAAUACUCCACCAGUAUGAAAAGUUCUUAAUGUUAGUUGAGUUCCCGGUUCGCCAAUAGAUUGACCAGCAAUAAUACCUACAGCUUCUCCCAAUUCUACCAGGUCCCCAUGAAUAGGACUCCGCCCAUAACACAAUCGGCAGAUCCAAGACGUAUUCCUACAGGUAAAGGGGGUUCGAAUAAAUAUUGGUUGUGUUUGAAAAGUUAUGAAUCGAUUGAUAAGUCCAAUUCCAAUAUCUUGAUU